AACGAACGCUGGCGGCGGGCUUAACACAUGCAAGUCGAACGGAAAGGCCCUGCUUGUGUGUGGUUCUCGAGUGGCAAACGGGUGAGUAACACGUGAGUAACCUGCCCUUGACUGUGGGAUAACUUCAGGAAACUGGGGCUAAUACCGGAUAGGAGCUGCUGCUGCAUGGUGGGGGUCGGAAAGUUUCGGUGGUUGGGGAUGGACGGCGGGCUUAUCAGCUGGUUGGUGGGGGAGUGGCUUAGGAAGGCAUUGAAGGGUAGCCGGCCUGAGAAGUGGGCCAGCGACCAGGGGCCUACGAGACGGAGCAGACGGCUACGGGAGGCAGCAGUGGGGAAUAUUGCACAAUGGGGGGGAGCCUGAUGAAACGACGCUGCGUGCGGGAAGACGGCCUUGGGGUUGUAAACCGCUUUAGCCUGUGACGUAGCGUGAGUGACGGUAAUAGGAAAAGAAGCACCGGCUAACUACGUG
rnacentral:rRNA from 1 species